GCUCAGAUUGAACGCUGGCGGUAGGUUUUAUACAUGCAAGUCGAGCGGUAACAGACAUUUUUGAUUCAGCUUGCUGAAUCUUGUGCUGACGAGCGGCGAACGGGUGAGUAACGCGUAGGAAUCUGCCCAGUAGCGGGGGAUAGCCCGAGGAAACUCGGAUUAAUACCGCAUACGCCCUAAGGGGGAAAGAAGGCCUCUCCUUGGAAGCUUUCACUAUUGGAUGAGCCUGCGUAAGAUUAGUUUGUUGGUGAGGUAAUGGCUCACCAAGGCGACGAUCUUUAGCUGGUCUGAGAGGGCGACCAGCCACAUUGGGACUGAGACACGGCCCAGACUCCUACGGGAGGCAGCAGUAAAGAAUCUUGGACAAUGGGGGAAACCCUGAUCCAGCCAUACCGCGUGUGUGAAGAAGGCCUUAGGGUUGUAAAGCACUUUAAGCAACCAGGAAGAAAAGUAAGUUAAUACCUUAUUUUUUUGACAUUAAUUGCAGAAUAAGUACCGGCUAACUCCGUGCCAGCAGCCGCGGUAAUACGGAGGGUACAAGCGUUAAUCGGAAUUACUGGGCGUAAAGCGCGCGUAGGCGGCUAAGCAAGUUGGGUGUGAAAGCCCAGGGCUCAACCCUGGAACUGCAUUCAAAACUAUUUAGCUAGAGUACGAGAGAGGAGAGUAGAAUUUCUGGUGUAGCGGUGAAAUGCGUAGAUAUCAGAAGGAAUACCAAUGGCGAAGGCAGCUCUCUGGAUCGUCACUGACGCUAAGGUGCGAAAGCGUGGGUAGCAAACAGGAUUAGAUACCCUGGUAGUCCACGCCGUAAACGAUGAGAACUAGCCGUUGGGAGGGAUUAACCUUUCAGUGGCGCAGCUAACGCAUUAAGUUCUCCGCCUGGGGACUACGGCCGCA
rnacentral:rRNA from 1 species